CGUUCUCCACCUCAUGCCAAAAGGAAACAGUAAAAUAACAGUGCUGCAGUGCUGGGUUUUGGACAUUGUGUGUGCCAAGUGCACAAAAGGACCCAAAUGGCACAUUGAAGAUACACAUUGGAAAAUUAAUUAGCGCUUCGAGGCGAACGAGCAAUAUUAACAAAGAUUAAUGAAACAUAAAUAGUUACAGUGGAAUAUCGGUACCAUUGGAGAAUCGAAUGAAUUUCUUCUUCUAGUAUGGCAACACUGUUGUGUGCACAUAAGUAUAACGGUAAACUUUCUCUUUGUGACACGACCAUCGCAUCAGCAGUCACUCAUCCUCAGUUAGAAGUCAGGCAUUGAAGCGUGCAGAUGUUUAGUCAAGAACAGUGAAUGAUUGAAUUUAAGAAUUUGGUGAGUUAGCUUACAAUUUAACAACAGUCUCAAAGUGAAAUGUGCAUGGAGAUGAAACAUGGGAAUUGGCAUGAUUGUAAUCACAAAGUGUCAACAUCGUUAUGCCUCUCAUCAAUAUUUGUGAAGCUUUUUAUCUGGACAAGGAAUGCUACGGAAUGCUCUCAUCCAUCCCACUUUCAAUCAAGUGCAUAAAUUCUGCACCUGCAGGACGCAGCCAACACAACAACGAGUCAGCCAUAUCAACCAUACGCUUCUGCAUUCUAAUUAGCUCCACCCAGGUUGUAACACCAAAACCGAGGCAGCUAUUUGUCAAAAACGAAAUGAAAAGCUUAAUAAAGGAAGCAAGUGCACCAACCAAUCGACCAAUUUGAAAUGGUAGCUGAAAUUUUUCAAAUUAUCUUAUAUGGGAACAAAAAUUGCGUGAGUUUGCAACUGGAUGUGCUUAUUAUGGUCCUGGUUUGUCACAAACACGCACACACACACACACUCGCACGAGCUCAUUCAUAUGCUUGACCAAUGUUUUUGAAUGAUAAAAAUCUUGAAGAGUUGGUCUUAUCUUAAGAAUGGCAUCAAUAAAAGAACUUUGCAUGGCUGAUGCAACGCUUAGAGAGUAUAGAAAGGUGAAAGAAUGUGCACGAGAUGGCAUCGGCGGACAUACAUCAGACGUGUGGA